AAAGGCGGCCAUAGCGGUGGAGCAACACCCGUACCCAUUCCGAACACGGAAGUUAAGCCCACCAGCGUACCGGGAAGUACUGGAGUGAGCGAUCCUCUGGGAACCGCGGUUCGCCGCCUACC
rfam:Halorubrum lacusprofundi ATCC 49239 chromosome 1, complete sequence.